UUAAAUUGAAGAGUUUGAUCAUGGCUCAGAUUGAACGCUGGCGGCAGGCCUAACACAUGCAAGUCGAACGGUAACAGGAAGAAGCUUGCUUCUUUGCUGACGAGUGGCGGACGGGUGAGUAAUGUCUGGGAAACUGCCUGAUGGAGGGGGAUAACUACUGGAAACGGUAGCUAAUACCGCAUAACGUCGCAAGACCAAAGAGGGGGACCUUCGGGCCUCUUGCCAUCGGAUGUGCCCAGAUGGGAUUAGCUAGUAGGUGGG
rnacentral:rRNA from 1 species